GAGCAGCCUGGGGCAGGGGGAGGUGUCCCUGCCCAUGGCAGGCCAUUGGAACGAGGUGAUCCCUCCCAUCCCAAAUCAUCCCAGGAUUCUGUGACUCAGGACUUCUCCCCAUUCCACAUGGACCUCAAGGAGCUUCAGUUUCCAAGGAAAGGUCUUGCAAGGAGAACAAAGGUUUUGUGCAGCGCUGUCCCAGCUCAGCUGCCCGACAGCCAUGGCCUCUCCGCCCGUCCUGCGAGGGAAGAGCCCCCAGGAGAUUUCCCGUCCGCUCCUCCCAGCCUUUCCUGCCCCAGCUCCCACCGGUGCUGCUGUGACAAGUCUCUCUGGAGGGCACCAGGAGCUCUGGUGGCAAAUACUCAUUAAUUGAUUCGCUGGGACCAAGGAGGAAUCCAAUCCAAUUAGAGAUAAAUAAUUGAUGCCAUCGAGCGCCGAGAUUGGGACGUUAUUGAUCAGGGGCACGAGAGGGGCCGACAGCUGUUCCUGAUGUCAGCGCCAUGGAACCUGAACUGAGACAAUGACCCUUCAGCAGCCCCUGGGAGGGCCAGGGGACACCAGCCCCAGAUGAACCAUCUGAGGUCUCCACACAGCACAGAGGAAACCACUUGAAUCCUUUAAUCCUUGGCCUCUCACACCGAGGGCCUUGAAGGAGCUCCUGAAGAUUUCAAAGGAUGCCUGAGGUAACAACUUUAGGUGGGACCUCAGCCACAGUUUUCAAACAGCCAUUGGUCAUCCUGCUAAACCCACACCCUGCAGAGAAAUGAAAUGUCCCCUCCAGCAGCACCAGGAAGGAACUUGGUUGGACGAGUAGGGCAGGGCAAGAAAUAAUUCUGCCGCAGCUUUGUGCUUUGGUGGCUCCAGACAACGUGGAAAGGAGCAAGAGGGAAAAUCCCAAUGAGAAUGUGGCCCUAAAGGUCCUGGGCAGAAAGUCAAAGCUGUAUUUGAGGAGCUUUCCUGGAGGUUUUCAUUAACAUCAGGGCCAGGGAAUCCACUGCAAAUGUAAAAAUAAUAGAUUUGAGAGCCCUAAAAGGAUGGAGAUUUACUCACUGUGGAAAUAUUAGGGAGAAAGUGGGAGUGGGAGGUUCCCAGGGCCCGGCGCUGCCUGACUGUGAGCUCUGGAAGCUGCCCGAGGAGCUGCUGGGAAUGGGAGAGGAGGGAAUGUUGCCUCCGAGCGGCUCUGCAAGGCAGCUGCGGCUGCUCCGCUGAGCAGCGAGCUCCCAGAGCCGUGGGUAUCCCCGAGAAACGGAGAAUUUCCUUCCCAGAGUAACGGGAAAAGGAGGAUGGGGAGCUUUCAUCAGCCACGGUGUUCACCCUCGGAGCUGGAGGUCCGGGGUGAUGCUGAUGCCCAGCAGGUCAGGAGGGACCCACCGGAGCGGGGUAGGAGAGAGGGAUCGCUGCUUCCUGCUGUGCCCGCUCCUUGUGGGAAUGCUGGGACCGCGUCCCCUCCUUCCCAGGGCCUGCUCCUGCGCCCCACACUGAGCGCCAGGCCACACUGUCACCGCCGGUGGCGUCACCUCUGUGCCCAACCUCGCCUGGCAGAGCUGCGAGAGCCACCAGCGUGGCACAGCUCGGUGGGCGGCAGGGUCCCGGCUCCGGCUGAGCCCGUGCCCAGGAGCCGCUGCACGGAAAGAGCCCCUCUGCUCCCGGACAGGAAGGGUCUGCCCUCCCCACUCCGCUCCGCCCUAGAGGCAGUAACCUGCUGAAGCUGCUUGGCACGGGCUGGUUUUACGGUGGAAAACGGGUUUAAAAUGGGUACCGCUUCCUCUGGAAGGAGGAGCACAGCCUUUAGCUCUGUGGCAUCCUCCAGGUACAAGUGAAAACCCUCAGCCAGAGCUUCCAGCCAGCUGAGACCGCUGGGUACCAGAAUUCCUGGGAGACGGAGGGACGGAGAAGUGAGAUUUCCGUCCAUCUGGGCAAAACAGGCAGCGAAGCCUCUGGGUGCAGAUGGAACUGGCUGCAGGCUCGGAUGCCAAACCAGCCCUCCGAGGAAUCCUGGGGAGCCCCUGCCAAGCCCCGCUUCCCUGGGAGACGGCAUCCGGCGUGCCCCGGAGCGCUUCAGCUCCUCCACAGCUCCUCCCUCGGCGCUUUUCAGCAGCUCCGCAGCCCCCCAGCCCCAGCCGGCUGCGCUGGUGGCCCGGGGGCUGCAGGCAUUUUCCCAGCGCUCUAAUCUAACAGCACCAGUGGGAAUGUUUACAGCACGCUGCCACUUGAGGGCUUAUCAGCCCCGCCGCCUAUCUCCCACCGCCCCAGCCUGAUAAAGGGAGGGGCUGCUGGCACCCGGGGGAAGCGCCCGGAGCAGGGGACGGAGCUGGGGACUGGCCAAGCAAACCCAGCAGGGCUGCGGGACUUCUCCAGGAGCCCCUCUGUGUCACCGAGGAUGUGCUGGAGAGAAGGAGCAGGGCAGAUCCUUUCCCGAAGGGUCCCUCAGAGCAGCUUGGGAGCAGCAGCGGCCAGGCCCGGGGCAGAGGGAGCAUCCCGUGGAGGGGUGAUGGGGUGUGGGGGCACGGAAGCGCAUCCCUGGGAAAACUAGAGGCGGGUCAUAGGGUCAUGUAGGUGGGAGUAUCAAGUCCAAGUGUUAUCCCAGCACUGCCGAGGCCACCACUGCCCCACGUCCCCAAGUGCCACAUCCACACGGCUUUUAAAUCCCUCCAGGGACGGGGACUCCACCACCACUGCCUGGGCUUUGCUGAAGAAAUUUUCCCUUUUAUCCAAUCGAAUCCUCCGCCGGUGCAACCUGAGGCUGUUUCCUCUUGCUCUGUUACUGGGGGGGAAGGGUCUGACCCCACCGCAGAGGGCGGCUCCAAUAUUUCCAUCAAGGAGCCAACUGCUGACAUCUGCCUGCCCUAGGAACAGGUUUUCCCUAAAUUCCGUUCAUCAGCUGGGGAUAAAACGCAGCUCAGCUGGGGCCGCACUCUCUGCGUUGUGCCGGGGCUGAGCUGCAGCAUCUUGGGAGCGUCCGCACGGAUCCUAAAGGUCCCGCUUAUCCACCUGCAGCGCUUAAACCGAGCAGAGUUCGAACAGACUUAAUUUUUUUUUUUUUUUUUUUUUUUUUUUUAAACUUUAGGACAGGCAGGUGCCCUGACGUGUCCUUGCGGCUACCAAGCAGCCUCUGUCCCCCCUGCGCAUCCCUGGUUCCCGGCGCUCCGGGCGUGGGACACGCCACGAUUGCCCUCUAGUGGCCCCCGGCCCAGGCAAGGGGCGCUCGGGUCCCGGGGGCUGCGGGGUCCCGCUCUCGACCCCCCCCUGCCCCCGGCCGGGAUCCCCGCCCCGCUCAGCGCACCCGGUCCCUGUCCCCUGCGCGUCCCCCGGGCUGUGCCAGGAGCCGCCGCUUUUGGGAUUCGGGCUUUUCCCGGGAUCUGGUGUGCAGCACGCCUGGCUGCAGCCCCCGCACGGCCCUUGUGUCCCUACCCCAUCCCUCGGGCUGUUCCUCAGCCUGGCAGGUUCCCCCAAGCAGGGAAUCUCAGACUUGAGGGUUCGGAGGGUGGUAGGAACAGGGAAUUCAUUCUGGAGGCUUCCCCGGCUUUAUUUUGAAUGUUUUUAGUAGAAUCACAGAGUCAUGUAGGCUGGAAAAAACCUUUAGGGUCACUGAGUCCAACCAACCCUUCCAGUCACCACAACCCCCCAGGGAUGGUGACAAGCCGGUGCCAGUGCUUGAUAAUCCUUCUGGUGAAGAAAUUUUCCCUAAUAUCCAACCCGAGCCUCCCCUGGCACAGCCUGAGGCUGGUUCCUCUCCUCCUGAUGGCUGCUGGCUGGGAGAAGGGAGUGAUAUUUUAACAAGAAAGUGGCUGCUGCUCCUGCCAGUGUGGCCAGGAGGGAUCCCCAGGUCCCACGUGGGAUCCAACAGAGUCUCCCAACACAAGAAGCAGAGGAAAUGGAGAGGUAAACUCAGGGAAGGAGGGAAGUUUGCAAAGGGAAUGGACUGGGAUCCACUCCUGGCAUUGAUGGAGGACGCAGGGAGAGAGAGGCUGGAGAAUCACUGCGGACUUUCAGCAGUGCUGCGAGAACCACGCACAGCACACUUGCCCGUGUUCACCCUCCCCCUUUAUCUUAACACGGACCUUUUGAAGAGCAAAAACAUCCUGCUCUUCCCAGAGCUCUGCUCCCAAGGUGUUGUGCUGAAGGAAUCUGUCCUCUGGUGGGGCUGGCUGCUGCUGUUCUGCUCCCUGCAGUAACAGGAACCGUUUGCGUGGCUUGGCAGGACCUGCUUCACCCCGGCCAGGAGAUCACAGCCCCAUUUCUCAUCUAUGAAUAAAUCAAUACAGCUCUGGCAGGGCUGGGAACACGAGGGAAUAGAAAGGAAGGUUUCCUUCCUGGAAUGCUCCCUCCUCGGUGGGAUCUCCCAAGGGACCGGGCAGAGGAGAGGGUGAAAUGUCCUCCCGUUCCCUGCCGAUGUUUCUGGAGAGGUUGGAGACCCUGGGCUCUUCCUCCAGCCCUGGUUUAUGUAGGACAGGGAUGGGCAGCACUGGGAUCAUGAUCCCUGUGUGUCCCACGGCCUGCCAUGGAAAAGGGAAAGGGCAUUAGGCAGGACUUUAAAGUGCUUGGAAUUUUUUAAUAUGAAGGUGCCACUAAGGAAAACCUUAGAUAAUAUCUUUUUUCUCCCAAAAAAGAAGGGCAGGGAAGAUGUGGGAGCACAUCCCCAGUGUAUGCAAACCACAGCCUGGACUGUGACACCGAGCACAAACUGCAGCCACGGGUGCCAGGUAAGGGGAAAACGAAACUGGGCUGUGGAUUGCAGGGAAAAACACAAGGGCAGGGGUGAAAAACCUAAAAGAAGAGACUGGGAAAGUGCUCUAGAAAGUCAGAAGGACAGGUGGGAAAAAAACCCAACCCCAGGACAAUAACGAGGGAGAGGAAAUAGCUGGGAGAAAGCAGAAGGAAGUGGAGCCGUUGCAGGGGGUUUAUUGUUCUCACCUGGUGGAUUUUAUGUCCUCCAUUACCUGAAUCUGUCCCUGGGUGACUGUAGGGUUUCAUUAACUCCCUCUGUGACCCUCUCAAGGGUUUAUGGCCCAGGACAGACCCCAGUGGCCAUCACCAUGCAGAGCCAGUGUCCCAGCAGCCCACAGAUGUCCCCAAGCCGCAGCAGCACAGGGGCCCCUCGUGCCUCUCCAGGCUGCAGGGCCAGAGCUGGUGGUGCUCAGACGUCAUUGCAGGGGCCUGGGUGGUGUUUCCAUUCCUGUCCUGGAAGUUUGGAGCAGAAUAGGAGCACAGGAACAUCCCUUAAAGCUGAUUUGGCAAUGCAGAAGUCGCUUGUGUCCCUUCCCACAGGCAGAGGGGGAAUGAGGAGGUUUUGGGGAGGUCGUGAGGAGCUGGGCAGGGACAGCUGCAGCUGAGCCCUGUCCACAGCCCGUGCCUGCCCUGGGGUUUUUCCCUUGCAGGGAGAACAGGGCUGAGGGAGUCUCACUUCUGGAGCUGCGGGCUCUGACUCUCAUCCCUCAGUGAGCCCAGUGCCACUCGGUGCUGUAUUUUGUGCUUUCCAGACUGAACUCUGGAUCCCCCAGCUGCCCCUGCCGGGGCUGAUCUCCCCUUCCCUGACCAGCACCAUCCCCCCCAGAGGCUCCCAGCCCCCAAACCCAGUUCCCCCAUGCUGCCAAGGCCCUGCCUUGCAGAUCCCUCCUCCUCUGCAGUCCUGGGCUGGGUGAGGUGCCCUUUCCAUGGACACCCAGCGGCAGCUGCUGCUCAAAGCCUGCUGUGAUGCUGUGCCAGCCCUCCGAGUGUGGCUCAGGGCACCUCUCCUGCCCACCGGCCUGGGGGGAGCAGGAGCCAAGCCCUGGAGCACAAAAGGGGCUGUGUGGCUGCUGUUUGCCCUCCGAGAGCUGGAGGAAACUUGGCAGGGAGAAGAAAGCCUUCAGAAGCUCCUGGGACAGCCGGGAUUUACGUUAAGCUGCUCUCAGGAAAAAAGGGAAUCUUGAGUGGGAGCAGGUACAGCAGAAGGGAUGUGGGCAAAUGGGAUUUGUCUCCAUAUAUCCGAGAGGAGCAGUUCACUGUCACAACUGCAGUUUAUGUGCUCGUGAAUUGCCUUUGUCACCUGCGGGAGGCUGGUUCUGCUCCACUGAGACACCACCUUUGGUUUCGGAGGGGGUCUGGAACAAAAACACCUCAGCCACGUAUUUUUAACCUGAAUGUCUUUAACUUCAGAGAGCAGCAAGAAGGAUUAAAAGCCCCAAAACCUCUGUGAAAGAGGGCAUGGUGCACACAUCUGAGCUGCAGAGCUGGAGAACGCGGAGGCGGCCGUUUGGAAAGAGGGGCAGAAGGAGAGCGAGCUGAGAGGCACAGAGCAUGGACCCCCUCUCCUCGGGGCAAGGAGGGCUCUGGCCCUGUGCCAGUGUCCCGGGCUCAGGGAAACCACUGCCACCAGGAGAAGGCACCAGUCGUUCCAUGGGGUUUUAUCUCCUUUCUCAGCCUCAUUUGCAUCAGAUAAGGGAUUGAUCCAGAGGUUUGUGGGAGGACUUUCACCACCACGUGUGUGAUACCAACAAUCGUUUCUGUGGCUGUGCAGAGAGUUCCAGCUCCCCAUGAUGAGCCCAGGAAUGUCUCCAGCUCCCUGUUCUUCUCUCCACAGGAGCAGCAGAAGAUGCUGGGAAAUUACAGCACAAGUUUAUUUCUUCCCUCUUUUUUCUCUUUUUGUUUUUCCCAAGCUUAAGGAAAACUCCCAACAAAGAAAACUUCCUUUUUCCCCUUCUCACAUCAACACGAUUUGCUGGGUAAUGACGGAUGGAGGGCCAAGAUGUGCCAAAUGCCAGCCUGGAAAGGUAAAAAGCUUUGAUAUUCCACAGGAUCCAAGGCCUGUUUGCAAAUUUGGGGCUUUUCAGGAAAAAAAACUUGUCACCAGUUCGAUUUUCUUGGCUCGCCAGGAGCGGAGUCUUUUCUAUCAGCUGCCUCAAGUUUUUGUUUAAAAAAACUUCCACUGUUGGUGGAAAUGAGGGGCUUUUCCUCCUCUUUUCCUCCUGGGGGAAAAAUCCAGGCUGAGGAAUUCCAGUGCCUUGAGAGCUGACUGAAAACUGCAAUUUUUUAGUUUGAAAACAACAAAAUGAGAUUUUCCCCUUCUGCAAAACAAUCAGAAACCAGAGUUUUUCAUGCAGGAAAAUUGAACAAAAGCAGUUAAGUGUGGAGGAAGUCUCAAAUGCUUCCUGACUCUGGGAAUUUUUUUUUUUUCUAAAUCAUUUGUUUCAAUAAAAAUCUGACAUUUCA